rnacentral:SRP_RNA from 1 species
GCCAGGCACAGUGGCAUGUGUCUACAGUCCCAGCUACUCAGGAGGCUGAGGUGGGAGAAUGGCUUGAGCCCAGGAAUUCUAGGCUGUAAUACGCUAUGCCUGUCAGGUGUCACACCAAGUUUAACAUUAGUGUGGUGAGCUCUCCAGAAGCUAGGGACCACCAGGUUAAUUAAGGAGGGGUGAAUUCGCCCCGGUCGGAAAUGGAGCAGGUCAAAACUCCAGUGCUGAUCAGUUGUGGGAUUGUGCCAGUGAAUAGCCACUGCACUCUAGCACGGGCAACAUUGCAUGAUCCUGUCUUU